AGUGAACGCUGGCGGUAGGCCUAACACAUGCAAGUCGAACGGCAGCACAGUAAGAGCUUGCUCUUACGGGUGGCGAGUGGCGGACGGGUGAGGAAUACAUCGGAAUCUACUUUUUCGUGGGGGAUAACGUAGGAAAACUACGCCAAUACCCCAUACGAACCACCGGUGGAAGCAGGGGGUCCUCGGACCUUGCCCGACUUGAUGAGCCGAUGUCCGAUUAGCUAGUUGGCGGGGUAAAGGCCCACCAAGGCGACGAUCCGUAGCUGGUCUGAGAGGAUGAUCAGCCACACUGGAACUGAGACACGGUCCAGACUCCUACGGGAGGCAGCAGUGGGGAAUAUUGGACAAUGGGCGCAAGCCUGAUCCAGCCAUACCGCGUGGGUGAAGAAGGCCUUCGGGUUGUAAAGCCCUUUUGUUGGGAAAGAAAAGCAGCAGGUUAAUACCCCGCUGUUCUGACGGUACCCAAAGAAUAAGCACCGGCUAACUUCGUG
rnacentral:rRNA from 1 species